rnacentral:rRNA from 1 species
UCCAGACUCCUACGGGAGGCAGCAGUGGGGAAUAUUGCACAAUGGGGGAAACCCUGAUGCAGCGACGCCGCGUGAGUGAAGAAGUAAUUCGUUAUGUAAAGCUCUAUCAGCAGGGAAGAAAAUGACGGUACCUGAGUAAGAAGCCCCGGCUAACUACGUGCCAGCAGCCGCGGUAAUACGUAGGGGGCAAGCGUUAUCCGGAUUUACUGGGUGUAAAGGGAGCGUAGACGGCAGUGCAAGCCUGGAGUGAAAGCCCGGGGCCCAACCCCGGGACUGCUCUGGGAACUGUGCGGCUGGAGUGCGGGAGGGGCAGGCGGAAUUCCUGGUGUAGCGGUGAAAUGCGUAGAUAUCAGGAGGAACACCGGCGGCGAAGGCGGCCUGCUGGACCGCGACUGACGUUGAGGCUCGAAAGCGUGGGGAGCAAACAGGAUUAGAUACCCUUGUACC